UUGAAAAUUUGGGUCGUCAAAUGCAUACAGCCUUACGCUUUUGUGAAGUUCUUCUAAUACACGUAUUAGUGUGCAUUUAGAAUAAAAUGCAUGGUGAGGGUACUUUAUAUUUUCUAGCAACUGAUAUACUCGCUCCUUGGAUUAUAGGUAUCAUUUCUUUUAUUUUUGUGCUAAUUGGAGCUUUUCUAUGUUAUGCUAUUGGAGCAGCAGUUAGAAUGCAUUCUAGACUAACAGAAAUUGUGAACUACGUACAUGAAGUACAAGAAGAACAAGAAUACAAUAAACUUGUAGACCUUGAAUGAGUGAUAUUUGUAGGAAAGAAAUUUAAUAACUGCUAUAGGUGAACUUUUGGAAUUUGAUUUUAAAUUUUACAAACAAAGUGCAAAUAUUUUGCUUUUAAGGUGAUGUUUAAUGAGAUGUCAAAGCCUCAUCUGAUGAAUAUUCUCCUAAAAUACUUUAUUGCAUUCCUUUUAUACUUCAAUAAAAGAGGAAACAAUCGGUUUUUAAUCUAAAUAUUUGCAAUUGAUUUCAAAAUUAUAGUGAAAAAAAAAAAAAAAAAAAAAAAAAAAUUAAAUUUGUCGCGAAAGUAACCUUUUAGUUUAGUUAUGCAUGCAAGUAUUUAAUAUACAAUAUAUAGUCUAUUCAGUUAUUCUUUUAUGUAUAUUUCAAUGGUAUGUGAAAUGAGCGUUCAGGAAAUUAUUCAUAGAAAUGUCAGCUAUCAACUAAAUGCAAAUAAGGUUCGUUCAUUAUUGCAGUUCUACACCCUUGAAUUGAAUUCUCCGUGUCAACAUAAUGACGCAAGAAUUUUGAAGGCAGGAAGCGUUUUUCUAUUUAAUUCCUCUGAUUUAAGUUAAAAUACCUUUCAUGUAUGUGAAAUGGACAUGCAGCUGUGUAAAAUACUAUUUCCUUAUAUAAUAGUAUAUAUUAACUUCAGAAAACAACUCAACUUAUAAGUGACUGAAGGAUUACAAUAUGAAUAAAGUAAUGCUUUUGCUGCUACUGGGUGUCCUGCUCUCUUCUGUUCAAGCACUUGAAAAUGAUGAACAUAGUUUGGCUUCGGUACCCAGCAUCGUUCAUGAUAUUUUGAUGUGCUAUGGACGUCGUAAUGGAGGUCGUCGUAAUGGCGGACGAACUACUACUACAGCUGAGCCUGAAGAAGAUCCGUAAAUGGGAUCCGAUGGGAUGUCUUAUCAACUUCUUAAUAUGCUUAUAUUUUCAUAAUACGUUCCUUUUUCAUACACUUUACUGCAGGAAAGCUUCAUGUGAAACCUAAAUAACAAGCAAUAAAGUAAAUGUUAUAGCAACUUCA
rnacentral:misc_RNA from 1 species